rnacentral:rRNA from 1 species
AGAGUUUGAUCCUGGCUCAGGAUGAACGCUGGCGGCGUGCUUAACACGUGCAAGUCGAACGGAGUUUAGAUGAAAGCUUGCUUUGACUAAACUUAGUGGCGGACGGGUGAGUAACGCGUGGGUAACCUGCCUUAUACAGGGGGAUAACAGUCGGAAACGACUGCUAAUACCGCAUAAGCGCACGGAAUCGCAUGAUUCAGUGUGAAAAGAUUUAUCGGUAUAAGAUGGACCCGCGUCUGAUUAGCUAGUUGGUGAGGUAACGGCCCACCAAGGCGACGAUCAGUAGCCGGCCUGAGAGGGUGAACGGCCACAUUGGGACUGAGACACGGCCCAAACUCCUACGGGAGGCAGCAGUGGGGAAUAUUGCACAAUGGGGGAAACCCUGAUGCAAGCGACGCCGCGUGAGUGAAGAAGUAUUUCGGUAUGUAAAGCUCUAUCAGCAGGGAAGAAAAUGACGGUACCUGACUAAGAAGCCCCGGCUAACUACGUGCCAGCCGCUGC